rnacentral:rRNA from 14 species
GUCUACGGCCAUACCACCCUGAACGCGCCCGAUCUCGUCUGAUCUCGGAAGAAUGUCAGUAACUGAUCAGAAAGGGGGUGCAGAACUGUGGCUU